ACUUACAAGAUGAGUGAAGAAUAUAUAAAUAUAUCGGAUGGGGAGGAAGAAAUGAGACAACUGUUUCAAGAGAGUUGUGUUCGUAGUAAUAAAAACGCUGUGUCUGGCCGUGAUACAAACCAAGACAGUAUCACACCAGCAGACAAUGGUGCUAAUAAUAGUAAUGUGUCCUCACAAAGUGAAAGUAAGAAAAAGACUCCUAGAAAGAGUGCAAACUCGAGACAGAGAUCAAGUUCUAGUACAAGUAAGGGAGAAGGAUCAAGUAGAUCAAGUAGUUCGCGAAAGGGGAGACAAUCCAAGACCCCAUCAGGAUCUCGACAUGGAAGAGAUAGUCGUGGAGAGGGUGAAUACAGUACAUCACCAUGUAAAGAUUCCCUACCAACUUUUACCAGUGAUAUACAUGUAACAGAUAACAGUUUUAAACUUAGUUUACUUGAUGAGGUGUUAACAGAGAAAAAAAUGGCACUGAUGAAAUCACCUGAGGUUGUUAAGUUUUUAAAAGAGCAACAAUCUGGUAUGUUAGCAACAAGUAAACAGAAAUAUGAACCGAGUGGAUCCUGACAUAAUCAUAUUCUUAUAAUUUCAUUUGUAAACAUUUUAAUAUUUGAGAAUUUGUAUAUAAAUUCCUGUCAUUAAUAUAUAUACAGACUCAAGUGGAAUAUGUGGAUUUCAGCUUUACUAAGUAAUCAUUUAGCCAGUUGAGGAUAAUUGGCAAAAUGUAAUGCAAUAAACUGAAUUGUUAAACAUACAUUAUACAAGAGCUAAAUCUGCCUAUUGCAGGUCUUUCUUUAGAUCUGAAAUGUUAUAUAAACUAUUAAAUAGACAUUUAUUAACAUGAAAAGCCAGUAAUCAGCUUUCUAUACCAUCGGAUAUCUCCUAUGUUAAGUAUAUUAGAACAGUUCAGCCAUAUUUUGAUUUAAUUCAAAAAUGGAGAAGCAAGGCUUAGCUUCGAAGAACAACUAGUACGGUGGUUGCAAUUAAUGCACACAUCUUGUUAAACCUUCAAAGGCUAAUAUCUUCGCUCGCAAUAGAGUAAUUUGGAUGAAAGUGAAAUAUUUUGUUACCACACAUUACUUAAUGUAAUAUUCACUACAAUCACUGAUAAGGAUGACAUCGAUGCGACUUAAUGAGCCACAAAUACUUUUUUCCUCCGACAAAUUAAAUUCUAAAACAUUUUUUUUUUUAUGUAUUAGAAAAAUAAAUAAAGACGCUUGACGUAUUUGUAGGUAAAAAUUAUUUCCUAUUUAGUGUAAAUGGGUAUUAAAAUGAGUAAAAGGCGCCAUUCGCCCGAACCAGUAAGGUCUUAUGUAAACAAUGCACGCGCCAAUGAUUGAUGCUGCGUGAUGAGAAGUCACGUGUUGAAGGUAGUCAUCUUUUACAGAGAUAUUAGAUGACUUUCGUAAUCCUCCGUGAAACAGAUUGCCCUUUAUGAUGCAGUUAACAUUGAUGUUGUAUGGGUUUUUUAUUCACUGUAUCUGUAUUAAAUUAAAUGUAUGUUGUCAAUACAAUGUUUUUUUCAUCUUUGUAUAUUUGACAUGUGUACAUCGUUUUCAAGGGAAGUAACUCUACAUAACGAACAUAUUCUUUAAUCUGACAUUUCAACAAAUUUUGUAGGAAUCUAAAUUCAGUGUAUAAUGU